ACUGCUAUUGGGGUCCGACUAAGCCAUGCGAGNCAAGGGGCUCCCCUUUUGGGGAGCACCGGCGAACGGCUCAGUAACACGUGGCUAACCUACCCUCGGGUGGGGGAUAACCUCGGGAAACUGAGGAUAAUACCCCAUAGGAGAAGAGGUCUUGAAUGAUCCUUCUCUGAAAACAUAUGUGCCCGAGGAUGGGGCUGCGUCUGAUUAGGUAGUUGGUGGGGUAAUGGCCCACCAAGCCUACGAUCAGUACGGGCCUUGAGAGAGGCAGCCCGGAGAUGGGGACUGAGACACGGCCCCAGGCCCUACGGGGCGCAGCAGGCGCGAAACCUCCGCAAUGCACGAAAGUGCGACGGGGGGACCCCAAGUGCUUACGCACUGCGUAGGCUUUUCUAAAGUGUAAAAAGCUUUAGGAAUAAGGGCUGGGCAAGUCCGGUGCCAGCAGCCGCGGUAAUGCCGGCGGCCCAAGUGGUGGCCACUGUUAUUGGGCCUAAAGCGUCCGUAGCCGGUUUAGUAAGUCUCUGUUUAAAUCCUACGGCUUAACCGUAGGGCUGGCAGAGAUACUGCUAGACUUGGGACCGGGAGAGGAAGAGGGUACUUCAGGGGUAGCGGUGAAAUGCGUUGAUCCCUGAGGGACCACCUAUGGCGAAGGCACUCUUCUGGAACGGGUCCGACGGUGAGGGACGAAAGCUAGGGGAGCGAACCGGAUUAGAUACCCAGGUAGUCCUAGCCGUAAACUUUGCGAACUAGGUGUUAUCUGGACCUCGGUUCCAGGU
rnacentral:rRNA from 1 species